ensembl:lncRNA
ACUGAAUUUGGUUGUUCCUGGACGAGGAAAGGCAUUCCAGUCUUUGAAGGAAAUAUAAUCUUGCUGUAGAAGCCCUCUGUUGAUGGAUGUACCAAGACUGGUAACACAAUGGAAGAAACAAAAAUAGGAAGAGACUGAGGAAACAGCAGUGAAUGAAAAAACUUCACUUCUACAGAUCAGGCCUGUCCAGCAACGUUCAUUUCUACCUUCAGUCUGCUCAAGCUGCAGCUCUUCAAGAACUGCCCGGAGCACCUCCUGCCCUCCUUCUCCACUGACCGUGGUGUCUGCACAGCUGUUUCUUGCUCAUUGUCUUAUUCUGCUGUUCCCAGCUGCUGUUGCACAGUAGCGUUGUUUCCCCUAAAUCUGCUCUCCCAGGGGCACACCCAGCGUUGUUUGUUGGCUCAACUCUGGCCAGUGGUGUGUCCUUUUAGGAGCUGGCUCUAAUCUGACAUGGUGCAUUUCCUGGGCUCUUCUCACAGAGGGCAUCCCUGCAGCCCCCCGCUACCAAAAUCUUGCCACAUAAACCCAGUAUGUUUGCAUUUUAUUUUCAGACACAAAUAUAACACCCUAUAUGAAAGUAAUUGCUAUCCUGGUUACAUGGGAUAGCCUGUAUCCAGUUCUUCCAUUCUAAAGUCCAUUUGUGCUGUAGAGAAUAUGUAAGGAUUGUGAAUGUAUCCAUAAGUACCAUUCCACAGUUGAACUAAUUGCCAGGCCAAGCAACGGACCACAGUAAAUGGGUGAAUAAUUUGAUCCAAGAUGGAUUUGUACUCUACCACACAGCCUGAAAUUUUCUAAUGCUUUUGGAUUUGACUGUGAGCUGUUCAUUGUUGUUUGAGCCUGUUAUUUUCUAUUACCAUAUUUUCUCUGGAUAUCAUUUGUGUACCUUAUCUUUGUAUAAAAGGCCACAUCUCUACCGUAUUUCUGGGGAGUAGUCUGUAGAAGCAUACAAAAUUUACUGCUGUGGAUCAAAAUAUGACAGAUAAAGGUAGUGCAUUACAAAGUUCUUGCCUUCAGUCAUGCAGAAGGCUGUCUAUGCUUCUGUGAGCAGUGGUACAUAUGUGACUACCCUGUAAGGGGAGAAGGGUUAAUGGCAAACUAAGACAUUUUCUGCAGCAAAAGCAGAGGGAAUUUUCACUAAGCAAUUACCUUUUAUGUAAUAAACAAUGUCAUGUGUU